CGAGGGCUGAGAAGCCACGGGACCAAAAUCCUCAGGUUGUUUAUGAACUCGCCGUCGAUCUCUAGACGCAGAGGCAAAGACUGGAAGACCUCGCUCCAGAUCUGGAUCCCGGUGGUCUCCCUCUCUGAGCCCCCCCUCCAGGAGAAGCCGGUCAGAGGCUCGUCUGCAUCUCCGAGCCAGCCUUCAGAUGCCUGAGCACAGCCGGAUCACAAGUGAGUCUGUGCCCAGGUCUCUCUCGUCUUAAAACCCGCCCGUGACCCCGUCACCUGCACAGACACGUACGUGGUUGUAC